AGUGAACGCUGGCGGUAGGCCUAACACAUGCAAGUCGAACGGCAGCACAGUAAGAGCUUGCUCUUACGGGUGGCGAGUGGCGGACGGGUGAGGAGUACAUCGGAAUCUACUUUUUCGUGGGGGAUAACGUAGGGAAACUUACGCUAAUACCGCAUACGACCUACGGGUGAAAGCAGGGGAUCUUCGGACCUUGCGCGAUUGAAUGAGCCGAUGUCGGAUUAGCUAGUUGGCGGGGUAACGGCCCACCAAGGCGACGAUCCGUAGCUGGUCUGAGAGGAUGAUCAGCCACACUGAAACUGAGACACGGUCCAGACUCCUACGGGAGGCAGCAGUGGGGAAUAUUGGACAAUGGGCGCAAGCCUGAUCCAGCCAUACCGCGUGCGUGAAGAAGGCCUUCGGGUUGUAAAGCCCUUUUGUUGGGAAAGAAAAGCAGCAGGUUAAUACCCCGCUGUUCUGACGGUACCCAAAGAAUAAGCACCGGCUAACUUCGUG
rnacentral:rRNA from 1 species